AGAGUUUGAUCAUGGCUCAGAAUCAACGCUGGCGGCGUGCUUAACACAUGCAAGUUGAACGUGAAGCCUAGUACCUAGUAUUGGGUGGAAAGUGGCGAACGGGUGAGUAACACGUUGGUGACCUGUCCCGAGGAGGGGGAUAACCGUGGGAAACCACGGCUAAUACCCCAGAUGUCUGGAUUGUUAGAGGAUCUAGACUAAAGCUCCGGCGCCUUGGGAGGGACCUGCGGGCUAUCAGCUUGUUGGUGGGGUAAAGGCCUACCAAGGCUAAGACGGCUAGGGGGCGUGAGAGCGCGACCCCCCACAAUGGAACUGAGACACGGUCCAUACUCCUACGGGAGGCAGCAGUGAGGAAUAUUGCGCAAUGGGGGCAACCCUGACGCAGCAACGCCGCGUGGAUGAUGAAGGCCUUCGGGUUGUAAAAUCCUUUUCUGAGGGACGAUAAUGACGGUACCUCAGGAAUAAGUCCCGGCUGACUACGUGCCAGCAGCCGCGGUAAAACGUAGGGGGCGAGCGUUAUCCGGAUUUAUUGGGCGUAAAGCGCACGUAGGCGGCGCUGUAAGUUGGACGUGAAAGCUCCCGGCUCAACUGGGAGAGGUCGUUCAAAACUGCGGUGCUUGAGGUUGGAAGAGGAGAGUGGAAUUCCCGGUGUAGUGGUGGAAUGCGUAGAUAUCAAGAGGAACACCUGAGGCGAAGGC
rnacentral:rRNA from 1 species